rnacentral:rRNA from 1 species
UACGGAGGGUGCAAGCGUUAUCCGGAAUUACUGGGUUUAAAGGGUGCGUAGGCGGCGCUGUAAGUCAGGAGUGAAAGUUUGCGGCUCAACCGUAAAAUUGCUUUUGAUACUGCGGUGCUGGAAUUAGGAUGAGGUCAGCGGAAUGUGGCAUGUAGCGGUGAAAUGCAUAGAUAUGCCAUAGAACACCAAUUGCGAAGGCAGCUGGCUAGACCUGGAUUGACGCUGAGGCACGAAAGCGUGGGGAGCGAACAGG